rnacentral:tRNA from 1 species
UAGCCGUUAGUCUAAGCAAGAUAGUUGAUUUCGACUCAACAGACCUAGGACACACACCUAGACGUCUAC